AUUGAACGCUGGCGGCAUGCCUUACACAUGCAAGUCGAACGGUAGAGGGGCAACCCUCGAGAGUGGCGAACGGGUGAGUAACGCAUCGGAACGUGCCCAGUCGUGGGGGAUAACACUUCGAAAGAAGUGCUAAUACCGCAUACGACCUGAGGGUGAAAGCGGGGGAUCGCAAGACCUCGCGCGAUUGGAGCGGCCGAUGUCAGAUUAGGUAGUUGGUGGGGUAAAGGCCUACCAAGCCGACGAUCUGUAGCUGGUCUGAGAGGACGACCAGCCACACUGGGACUGAGACACGGCCCAGACUCCUACGGGAGGCAGCAGUGGGGAAUUUUGGACAAUGGGCGCAAGCCUGAUCCAGCCAUGCCGCGUGCAGGAAGAAGGCCU
rnacentral:rRNA from 1 species